GACAGAGGAUGCAAGCGUUAUCCGGAAUGAUUGGGCGUAAAGCGUCUGUAGGUGGCUUUUUAAGUCCGCCGUCAAAUCCCAGGGCUCAACCCUGGACAGGCGGUGGAAACUACCAAGCUGGAGUACGGUAGGGACGAGGAAGAUUCCGGUGGAGCGGUGAAAUGCGUAGAGAUCGGAAAGAACACCAACGGCGAAAGCACUCUGCUGGGCCGACACUGACACUGAGAGACGAAAGCUAGGGGAGCGAAUGGG
rnacentral:rRNA from 1 species